UACGAAGGGGACUAGCGUUGUUCGGAAUCACUGGGCGUAAAGCGCACGUAGGCGGAUUUGUAAGUCAGGGGUGAAAUCCCGGGGCUCAACCUCGGAACUGCCUUUGAUACUGCGAAUCUUGAGUCCGAUAGAGGUGGGUGGAAUUCCUAGUGUAGAGGUGAAAUUCGUAGAUAUUAGGAAGAACACCAGUGGCGAAGGGCCGGCCCAC
rnacentral:rRNA from 1 species